rnacentral:rRNA from 1 species
UUCGCCAGGGAACAACGAGCCCCAGCUUAAAACCCAAAGGACUUGGCGGUGCUUUAGACCCCCCUAGAGGAGCCUGUUCUAGAACCGAUACUCCCCGUUCAACCUCACCAUCUCUUGCCCUUCCCGCCUAUAUACCGCCGUCGUCAGCUUACCCUGUGAAGGCCUAAUAGUAAGCAAAACCGGUAAAACCUAAAACGUCAGGUCGAGGUGUAGCGUAUGAGAUGGAAAGAAAUGGGCUACAUUUACUGUUCCAGUAAACACGAAUACUGUACUGAAAUAAACAGUUGAAGGAGGAUUUAGCAGUAAGAGGGGAAUAGAGCGCCCCCCUGAAAACGGCCCUGAAGCGCGCACACACCGCCCGUCACUCUCCCCAACAUAAAUAUAUACAAUAAAUAAUAAACCAUAAAACGCAAGGGGAGGCAAGUCGUAACAUGGUA